UACAGAGGUCUCAAGCGUUGUUCGGAUUCAUUGGGCGUAAAGAGCUUGUAGGCGGUCUGUCGCGUCUGCUGUGAAAAUCCGGGGCUCAACCCCGGACUUGCAGUGGGUACGGGCAGACUAGAGUGUGGUAGGGGAGACUGGAAUUCCUGGUGUAGCGGUGAAAUGCGCAGAUAUCAGGAGGAACACCGAUGGCGAAGGCAGGUCUCUGGGCCACUACUGACGCUGAGAAGCGAAAGCAUGGGGAGCGAACAGG
rnacentral:rRNA from 1 species